UACGAAGGGGCUAGCGUUGCUCGGAAUCACUGGGCGUAAAGCGCACGUAGGCGGAUCUUUAAGUCAGGGGUGAAAUCCUGGAGCUCAACUCCAGAACUGCCUUUGAUACUGGGGAUCUCGAGUCCGGAAGAGGUGAGUGGAACUCCGAGUGUAGAGGUGAAAUUCGUAGAUAUUCGGAAGAACACCAGUGGCGAAGGCGGCUCACUGGUCCGGUACUGACGCUGAGGUGCGAAAGCGUGGGGAGCAACAGGG
rnacentral:rRNA from 1 species